AUUGGCAAUUAGGCAACGGUAAUGCCAAGUUUUUCAACUAUAAAUACAGCUUCAAUUCAGCCUUUUGAGUACAACAACACACAACAACUGAUCAUAUAAUUGCUAUAAGCUUGUAUACUUUAUUGUUUAUCAUUUUAUAUUCAUUUCAUAAGCUUUUGAGAGCCAAAUUCUUGUCAAAAAUUGUUGCGAUCUUGAGCGUAUUCUUUUACUCAUAUCUACUCAUUAAGGAGUGUCUUG
rnacentral:lncRNA from 1 species